UGAGCUGAUUUAUAUAAGUAUCAUAAUGUACUUAAUGUUGGAGAUUAUUUCAUGAUACAAAUUAGACCUGAACAGUAUCCUUUGGAAACCAGUCCUAAAUUGCAAGUGUUAGUCCAUUUAA